rnacentral:rRNA from 1 species
UACGUAGGGCGCGAGCGUUAUCCGGAAUUAUUGGGCGUAAAGAGCUCGUAGGCGGUUUGUCACGUCUGCUGUGAAAACUGGAGGCUCAACCUCCAGCCUGCAGUGGGUACGGGCAGACUAGAGUGCGGUAGGGGAGAUUGGAAUUCCUGGUGUAGCGGUGGAAUGCGCAGAUAUCAGGAGGAACACCGAUGGCGAAGGCGGGUCUCUGGGCAGUAACUGACGCUGAGGAGCGAAAGCGCGGGGAGCGAACAGG